GCCGAGGCAAGGAAUAUGGCUGAGGCAUGUCAUCUUGAGGUAUUUUGAGUUUCUCCUUGUCGGGUGCACACUCUUGUGCUCUAUCUUUUCGUUUCUUAAUUUUAGCUUGGUCAUUUUAUAGGAAUUUGAGAAGAGAAAGGCGAAGGUUGCUGCUCCCAGGCCUGCGGUUGCUCCUGCUUUCGAUCUUCCGCCGACUGGUGGUGCUGAGGCGCAGCAGUAGGCGGCCGAUGCGAAUGUGGUGAAGGAAGUGGGUCCUUUUGAUAGGCCUUCCUCUCAAGUGUGAGGGGUUUCGUAGUUUAGGGUGUUGCGUAUGUGAGACACUUAUAAAAUACAAUGCUUAACAUGUGUUUUGUAUCUAUAUAAAGUUUAGUAUCUUUGUUGAAAUUUCGUUUUGUUUGUUUUAAUUAUUUGCAAUUUGCGCUUUGGCCUGCGUAGGUCUCUAGUGGAGGACCUACAUAGGAAGUUUGCGAUGUAGCUAUGUUGUCUUUUUUACAAUGAAAUUUACGUUCUGUCGGAUUUUGGGAGUAUUGGUGUGUUGCGUUUCCCAAUCGGAAUGUUGUGGAUAUGUUUGACUUUAUCAAUUUUGAUAUUGACGAUGAACGAUCUGAGUUCAUUCAUUCGCUUGCGCAUCGUGGGUCCUGGCCUCCAUCCUAGGUGGUUGUUCCAACCUUUUUUUUCUUUAUUUGUUUGUUGCGUUUGAUGUUCUUGAACCUUUAUUAUUUCCUUGGCGCAACCUUCGUACCCGAUUUUGCGUAUCUUUGGUGAAGACAAAUAAGUGUUUCACCUACUGGAGGAUCCACAGCUUUUAGCAGAGCUCUAUCUUCCCAGUCUUCUAGAGAUUUGUUGCUCUCAGUCGGAUAAAUGUGUUUUUGAUGUAAAUGAAGGUGCAUUGUUCACUGUGCUUAUUUACUUUUUGUUUCCAGGUUGCUCUUCCUCCUCCUGCACGUGGUGUUCUUCCGCCGAACUUUCAAGAGGGGUCGUAUGUGUCUCUGAGGGGAGAUGUUUACAUCAUGGGGUGGAUUCUGGAUUGGUGGCGUCACCAAUUUCCUUCGCGCACGGUGGACAACCUAGUCGAGUAUGUUGCUCAUGACUACUGCGAGGAGAUACCAAUAUUUGGUCCUUCAAACGUUAGGAUUGUUCAUGGUGGUUGAUUUCUUCGUCGUCUAGGUUACGAGGGUUUUUAGCUUUAGCGAUUGCGGUCAAGUUUGUGAUUUUGAUUUUAUUUUUCUCUCUAUCUUUUUUUUUUGAUGUAAUCAGCAGUUGUACUCAUCAUGAAUAUGAAUAAAAGUUGAUUUUUCGUGGAACAUCUUAUUACAUUUCAGUUGGAACUACUUUCUAUUUUGUUCCUUGCUUCUGGCAGACUAGCUGGUUGUGUAGGCUGACCUAUGUGUCACUGUGGUGCUGAUCCUAAGGAUCUUUGUGUUGCUGCUGAUGUCGCAGAGAUAUGAGUUGCUCUUGAUCUUGCGAAGAUUAGCUGGUUUGCGAUUGAUGUGCUUGAUGGAGGCUUUCUUGAUGGGUGCCUUUGCUAGCUUGCUCUUCUUUUAUCUUUUUUAUUGUUCUCGUCGAACAUUGGUGAGGCUAACCUUCACAAUGAAGCUUUGUUGGUCGUAGGGGGACGUUACGAGACUUCGUGCGGUACCCUUCCAUAACCUCCAAUACUUAUAUGCAUUGCUUUUGUUGUAGCUGUACACGAC
rnacentral:lncRNA from 1 species